UCGAUUGAUCACAAACUCGCAGU
rnacentral:siRNA from 1 species